rnacentral:rRNA from 1 species
UACGGAGGGUGCAAGCGUUAUCCGGAUUUACUGGGUUUAAAGGGUGCGUAGGUGGAUAAGUAAGUCAGUGGUGAAAUCUCCGGGCUUAACCCGGAAACUGCCAUUGAUACUAUUUGUCUUGAAUACUUUGGAGGUAAGCGGAAUAUGUCAUGUAGCGGUGAAAUGCUUAGAUAUGACAUAGAACACCAAUUGCGAAGGCAGCUUCCUACACAGUAAUUGACACUGAGGCACGAAAGCGUGGGGAUCAAACAGG